GAAAGUCAACAGCAUUUCUUGUAAUCCCCUUCUUAGGGGAAUGCUUCGAAUAGUAGAAACAUAAGCAGCAACGAAGGAGAGGUUAAGAAAAAUCCAAUCGUUCGGCGUUUGUUGUCAUUUAAGAAUGAAAACGACACAAGAUAUUUUGCUGAGUUUCCCAAAGGAUCAACCCCCCCCCCCCUAUGGACGCCUCAGCAUGUUGACUAGAUGAAAGUAACCUUUCAUGCAAAUGGCGUAAUGGUAAGGCGGGCGAAAUUCAAGAGCAAUAAAUGAGGCGUGGCAACCUUCUUCAACAUAGAGCAGCUACUAGUAUUGUAGCAUACUCUCUAUACAUGUGGCUACAGCUCAGAUGAAACUUCAAUUGGUGAUUCUGUGGGGCUGUCAUUUUAUGAUCUCUUAACGCCAGCAAUUCCCAAUUUUCCGGAUUUCAAGCAUAGAAAUCAAGGAUCAUCAGGAUCAUUAAGUAGCAGUCUGCACUUUGACACAAUGCUGACCCCAACGGAUUUUGCUUGAAAGCCAAUAUUUUAUACUCUCCUACAAGAAAUGCCAGCUACCUGUUGUGUCUCGGGAUGUCAGUCAAAUGAUCAGGGAGAAGAAUCAACAAGAGUUUUCAAUUUUCUUCCUAAAAGAACACCCCAGUAUGAGAACUGGCUGAGAAAAUAUCACAGAAAGAUAAGGAACCUGGUUCCAGAACUGUGGUAUGCUUGAUACAUUUUAAUGAAAAUGAUGUUGUGAAAAAUGACGUCAUCAAUAUGCCAAAUGGGUCAUCAUUAACAGUUCCUCGAAAGAGAUACCAACUACAGGACGAUGCUCUUCCCUGCAUCUUCCUGAACUAACCAGUAUACCUCUCGGAACAGCUUUCAACUUCUACUAAGAGUGGAACAAAUCCUAUUGAAAGAAAAGCCAAACAUCUUCAGAGCUCAAAGUCUUCCUACAUUUCAUAAAAAUCCUAUAUUUUUCAUAAAAGGGCAAAAACCAUCCUAUAUUUCCUAUAAAUCCUAUAUUUUCAAUAAAAAUCCUAUAUUUUUGGUACCACAUAAGAAUUCUUUCUUCAUUUCUGCAUUUUUGGUUUGCCCAGUUUCCCUCGAGAAAAGAGGAUAUGCAAAAACAAUUUUUUGAUUGAGAAUAUUCCAAAGUGUUAAGGUUUGUGAGCAAGCGGUGGCUUUUUGUGGUUCCAGUAUGUGAACGGACAUUACAACUGUUGCCAGUUUUAAAGGAAUACUUCCUAGAGGAUCUUCCUAAGCAAAAGAGUUGAUUGUUAAGGCUUAAUAGGUGUGCACUAUGCAACCAUCAAGAAAGUUUUAGCAAGUCCUUUACUGCAAUCCAUCUCGUCUAUUCUGAUUAGCAUCUGAUCAUUUUAGGACAUACAAAAUGUUCUUCAACAAAAGAACACAACAAUACACCUAUUGCAUAACAAGUUGUGUGACCGUUUAUUGAAAGUUAUGCAGCGCUUCAUCAAAGAAGGGGAACUGGUGAAAAAUUGCAUGAGGUAGAGCCAAUAAAAGAUUGUGUACCCUGAAAAGCCAUCAAUGUGGGGAACAAUGCUCAGAAAGCAUAGCAUGCAAUUGAAAAUAAUACAAAAGAUUUAUUUCUCCCUAAUGCCAAACACUUUUACGAGGACAAGGUGAAAAGUUCUCGGCCUGACAAUGAAAGACUGCUGUUUUCAGUUUAAAAUUGAUUUUGUUUUUCUACAUAAUAUUCCUUGAGUUUAAUAAACUUAGUCCAAGGUUUCUCCAACAUUAGUAUUCCUUCCCGAAAAUAAGAGUCUGGAAGGCUGUGAAAAUAUUUAUCUCUUUCCCUCUCAAGCCCUUUCCAGAAGUAAAUUUCUCCAAGUUUGUUAACAGAUGGGGGAACUCUGAUGGUGCCAGUGUAACAGGAGGAAUGGCUGAGCAAACCGUACCUCAAAUUCCGCAGUUUACCUAUUGCUAACACACCUUUGUGAACUGGUGUGUUAUCCUGGCAAAAGAUUGAUUUUUUUUCCUUCAAGCCAGGCCUCUUUUCCAGAAUUUUGGCAUCCAGCUAGUGAAGAAGGUUAGAUUAAUAUUUGCCUGUAAUUGCUUUCCCUUCUCUCGGCAGUCAAUUAACAGGAUCCCUUUUGCACCCCAAAACAUGUUGCUCAAAUCCUUUUCAUGAAGAUGAAUCAACGUCUCUCUUUUCAUCUCUGAACACCAGCUUCCACCCACUCUUUUGAUUGUUUCGCUGUUGGAGUGUAGUAGUGAACUCAUGCCUUACUAAUGGUGACAAAUUGCUGUACGAAAAUGCUCCGAUCCCUGUUGAAACAAUCCAAAUAUUGCAGUGAAAAUCUGAUUUUAAUCGGCAUUCAGUAAAUGCGGCCUCCAUCUUGUGCCUAGCUUUCGCGCCUCCAAUUUUUUGCACAAGAUGUUUCUCACCCUUUCUUUCAAUAUCCUCACUGCAUGCUGCUUAGACUAAAAGCUGCUCAGUAGUCAAGCAUUUUAUGUCAUUUUUUGCCAAACCAUUUUCAAUUUAAAUUACAAUAAUGUUCUUUCCCAUAAUAUUACAAUCAUUUUUAUUUAUUUUUUUGUGUGUGAGAAAUCUGAAUUUUCAUAUUGUGACAAUAAAUCAGUAAGGUAUGUAUGACAAUUUAUGUUUAUUUGCAUCAGUAGUGCUCAAUGGUAACUUUUUAUGAUCUGUAUUCAAAAUUGAAUCAUUAUUAUUUUGAUUUUUCUUUUGCUGUACUAUAAAUCCUAUAUUUUUUCAAAAUAUGUUCUAUAUUUUUUCAAAAAAGUCCUAUGUUUUGUCAGUUGGGCGCUUUGAUCCCUGA